CAAAAAGCUCGAGGUUCUGUGUACAAUUUAACAUAUUCACAUGAGCCUUCUGAAGUAAAGAAUUGGAGCCCGUUAUGAUUUGAUUCAUGGAUUGUGUUCAUAAGGAUUUAUACCCUUAACACCAUGCAUACAAUACGUCUCUGUGUUCAAUGCCAGGGGAACACCGAAUUCUACUGUCGCACGUGUAAACAUGAUCUGUGUUUACAGUGUAAAGAGAAACAUGUCAUUGAUCUACAUACCAAACACCAUGAUGUUGUCAUAUACUGUGAAAAGUUUGAAAAUGCCUUUUUACAAGAAACCUGUGUCAGACAUCCAUCCCAAAAAUACAGCAUGUUCUGUGAACAGUGUAACUAUUCCGUGUGUAACAGCUGUACAAACCAUACAACACACGCGCUGGUGGAUCUUAGAACAACUUAUCAAACAAAGCGACAACAACAUAGAGAAAUCAUUGACAAUAUCAGAAGUGAAACUCUCUAUAACUAUCGUGUUCUCCUGGCAGGAAUCAAAACUGAUAUAAAAACCUGUCCCUCACAAAUCUGUCACCGUCAAUCACAGAUGUCAACAAAAGCCCAGAGACUGAAAGAUCUGAUAGACACUAUGGUGUGUGAUUCCAAAAUCAGAAAAACUUUGCUACAGCAUAGAGGAAGUAUGAAUAGAUACGUUGUUAACAUACAGAACUAUGAAAACAUAUAUGAACAAUCAGCAAACAGAGCGGUGCAAUUCCUUUUGUUUGUAAAGACCAAUCAUGGUCCCCAGAUAAAGGACAGUCCUAGCCAGUUAUUGAGUGUCAUCACAGAAAUCCAAAUGACAACAGGAAAACGACAAGUAGGAAUAGACGAGUGUUUGAGACUGAUGUCCACACCUGUAUUACACACGUCUGUCAGUGUAACGGGUGUUAGUCAUGUGUAUCAUAUAUCCCGUGAGGCGUCAGGAAGGGUGUGGGUUUGUGAUUAUAACAAUAUCAUCUUGACAGACACAACAGGAAUAGCACGACACCGUGUGUUAGAUUUGAAUUAUUGGAUAGGUGGACCACACACAGUGAAUCGGUGUGGUGAACUGAUUUAUAUAGAUAAGCAACACAACAUCAACAAACGCUCUAAGACUUUAGAUAACACCCCAACCAGACUUUUAGAGAGUGAAUCACCAUGGGUACCUAUUUGUUUGCACGCCUCCCACUCCACCGGAGAUUUGAUUGUUGGAAUGUUUAACACUAAUGCAGACAAUGGCAAGGUAACCCGAUACAACGGUACUGGAAAACAAAUCCUGAACAUUCAACAUGACAACACAGGUCAAGUGUUGUAUGGUAGUCCAAUCUAUAUUACAGAGAAUAAUAACGGGGAUGUUAUUGUGUCUGACUAUAUCAAAGAUACUGUAAUUGGCACGUGCUGUAGUGGAAGACAUAGAUUCUCAUACAAAGGACGUUCUGUAGAUCCACCACUACGACCGCGUGGAAUCUGUACAGACGCGCUGUCAAAUAUCCUGGUGUGUGACGAGAAAACCCACACAGUACAGAUGAUCGACAAGGACGGUCAAUUCAUGUCUCUUUUACUGACGCACCAACACGGAAUAAACAAACCAUGGGGUCUUGACUAUGAUGAUAAAAUUCACCUUCUCUGGGUUGGAUCUCACAACACCAACAAAGUGUCUGUAUAUAGAUAUAUACAGAGGAGAUACUCUCUGACUGGUAAGUACUAGUAGUAGUGUAGUUUAUUGUACUAUAUCAGAUCUAUACAGAGGAGGUACUCUCUGACUGGUAAGUACUAGUAGUAGUGUAGUUUAUUGUACUAUAUCAGAUCUAUACAGAGGAGGUACUCUCUGACUGGUAAGUACUAACAGUCCUCUAUGUAGUUAUCGCAUUAUGUCGUUCAGUCCAAACUACUGAUUUUGGUUGUGUGACAUAAUAUGUUUCUGCAAAAAUCUUUAUUAGAUUUAACUUUGUGUAUGAUAGAAAUAUAUCUUUCAGAGGAAUUUUAUUCAUUGGAUAAAGUAGACAAAUUGGUAAACUAUUUAUAGAGAAAAGUUUAUAUUUUCCAUUGAUAAUCGAUUAAUUAUAAAUCUUUCAAAAUUACCAAGUGCAAAAACUCCUUUACUGGUAUUUCCUCUACUGUAUGUCUAUUAUACAAUAAUUUCCCUAAUAUCCACUAUUGAUUUAUACAUAUUUAUAUAUCAGGGUUUUUUAUGGCGUCGAGCUUUGCUCGAACGGCAUCUAGUCAGCGUGUACGACUGAAUCAGCUGAAAAGUUUACGCGACCGAAGGUGUCAGACUAUCGAUGCUUCCGCGGAAAAAUCCCGCGCUUUUUGUAAUGGCGUAUGAAUAUCUGUACUGUUUAAUGAUUUACGACAUUUUAAAGUUGUUAAUGAGAAACAAAUGAAAAUUAUCACAUUGAUUUACUUUAACAUAUAAAAACUUUCACAAAAAAUAAAAACAAAUCAAAUAAAAAUUCCAAUUUCAAUGCGAACUACAUUUGCAAAGUCACGUGAUGUCUGAAACGAUAGCGUGUCUAGACGAAAGAUAGCGUGGGUUUUGUUUGUAAACAUUGCGUGCUGUUGGCGAAAUUUAAACUGAGAAAUAGUGUAUCGCGGAUUAUUUAUGGUCAUUAUAUUUUAGGGUAGGUAAUGUUUAUUUGACUACAUAGCAUUCUCAGUAGGGUAUUAACGUAUCUGUAGGUUUGCAAAUCAUUUGUCAACUCGGUAUAUAAACACUGGCACGUGUUAAUGUUAUUGUAAACAAACCAAGCACGGAAGCAUUCAUUAUUAUAAGGCUUUCAAGUAAAGGUUUUUGUGGAGGUAAAAGUUACUGAAUCAACAAAUAUUUUUUUUAAUCUGACUAGAUUUUCAUCUCUUGAGAUGCUAGCAGUGAUAUAUACUACAAAUGGUCCAUAGUUGUUUACAUUGUUGCACAUAUUUCUUAUUAAAAUUUUGGUUUAAAACUUAUUUCUUGUUUUUAUUAUGUUAUCAACAAGUACAUGCAAUGCUGCCCUUUACAACUAUUAAAAGGAGAGUUCUCACAACAGUUGACUUUUUCACUAAAUAUCUUAAUGCACAAAUUUUCAGUUCUUUGUGAAUUACAUCUGUGCCAAGGAUUGUAGAGUACUCCCUUGGCUAGCAAAGAUGUGUGAAUAAUUGAGAGCAAUGGUUGAUCACAAAAAUCUUCAUUAUUUAAUAACAUUAGAUAUUGUAAAUAAUCCUUUGAAAAAUAUUCUGAAGAAAUGAAUGGAAUUGUAAAAAAAUAUAUCUGUAAUUGAAUUUUUUUGUGAAAAGAGCUACUGUACAGAUGUAUUAGAAGCAUUAUUCCUGUAUGAAGGAUAAAUAUUCUUGGUAUUGCUUGAAUUCAAAGCUGUAUGUGUGUUUUUAAUACAUGUACAGCUAAUCUUCGUUAUCGGGAAUAUGUAAAUAGAGUUGCCAGUCCAAACCACUUCUUUUUUGUGUGUGUGUUAUCCUUGUUAUCGCAAAUCCUUGGAUGUCUCAAAUUUAAUUUCAGUCCUGUUGAAUUUGCAAUAACAAGGUAUGACUGUAGUCAAUGGCAUCAAAAUAUUCACAGGUAGAAGACUCUCCAUUGAGAUUUAUAUAAAGCUAUAUCUACUCUGUGUACAUACAAUAAGGGAUGAAGCAUUGAUAAACUGGACAGUACAUAGUUUCAUUAUAAUCUUUUCUUUCUUAGCACGACGCCAUUGUGGCCCUUCAGGCCUUUGAUUUAUUUUUGAUAUUAAACAUAUGUCAUUUGAACAAGUUUUUAUCUAUUGUUAUUCUGUUUUACCGAAAUGUGGGAUUUUCUUAUGUUGAUCUGUACUUCUGUUUUUCCAUUUCUGACAUCUUGAAAAAGGUGACAAAAUACAUAUUUUCUCUGGUUACAUGUAUUCAUUAAAUCAAACUAUACUGAGUGGAAUUUAAUAGCAGUUUCUUCUACUUUCAAAAAUUAGUAUUGAUGAGUCAUAAGAGGGUGGAAUUACGUUAAUCAAUCAUUAAUCAAAAAAACUAUUUGAUAAUAUUUUGAAUGAAUAAAAAAAAUAGUGCAAAAUCAACUCUAUCAUUUUCCAAGAUUAGUGAUAAUUCCGACAUGAGAAACAUUGUCCGGUAGUAGUUUAAAAUACGAUAUGUUUUUGAUCUAUAAAAUUGUGAAAUAACGAACAGUGAUGCGGAGUGAUACUGCUUUUGAGGUUGAUGGAAAAAAAAAUAUCUGUAUGUAUAUAUGUUGUAUAUAUAUAUAUAUAUAUAGUUAAUAAAUCUAAUUGUUCGUGUCUUUGGACAUUUUAACGCUUUGUAUAAUUUGUUGUAUUUGACCUUGUAUCCGCGUUGUGGAUCCGACACUUCUAGGUAUUGAGUGUUUGGGUGUUGUUGGAACUUCGUGCUUUUUUCCUGUGGUCGUUAUAAUGAUCUAAUUUGCCAAUACAGCCUAUCAUUGGGUCAAAUGCUGUCUGACGUCUUUUAUACCCAUUGUUAGGCCUUUCUCGGCAUACUGAUUUUGACUACGGACAACUUCGUUUACCUGAUCAAGACAUAGGGCUCAUAGCGUGACCGGUCAUCGGGGGAUGUUUACUCCUCCUAGGCAUCUGAUCCCGUGGGGAUCCGGGUUAGGAUAUGUCCCCAUUACUCUUUGCUUGUCUCAAGAGGAGACAAAAUGGGGCGGUCAUUUGGAUGAGACCGCAAAAACCGAGGUACCGUGUCACAACAGGUGUGACACGAUAAAGAUCCCUCCCUGCUCAAAGACCGUAAGCACCGAGCAUAGGUCUAAAUUUUUCAGCCCUUCACCGGCAGUGGUGACAUCUCCAUAUGAGUCAAAUAUUUUCGAGAGGGACGUUACACAAUAUUCUUUCAAUCAAUCAAUCCUAGACACCUGAUCCCACCUCUGAGAAUAGCACAAAACAAAAACUACGUAUAGAUACACCCAGCACUAAAAGUACACUAAAUCUUCAUACGUAUUUACCCCCACAGACUACAUAUUUUUGAUUUUUAGGCUUGGUAAUCAAUGCUAUGUGCGGAGCGAAUAAGGAAACGCAGUAUUCGUCCGAAGGGUUGAUCCAUAAGUUGUGUGUGAGGAGAGAUGGAGAGAAAGAGAAGUAAACAAAAACUACAUAUAGAUACACCCAGCACUAAAAGUACACAAAAUCUUCAAACGUAUUUACACCACAGACUACAUAUUUUUGAUUUUUAGGCUUGGUAAUCAAUGCUAUGUGCUGAGCGAAUAAGGAAACGCCGAAUUCGUCCGAAGGGUUGAUCCACAGGUUGUGUGUGAGGAGAGAUGGAGAGAAAGAGAGUGAUACAAAAAAUCCAGGGAGUGAUGAUGGGAUGACGAAAGCUUUAAGAUAUGAGGAAGUUCAGAAAUCUGAAGAGUUAGAGUCUGAAGAAGACAGAAGACAGAAAGCGUCUCCAGUCUGACGAAAGCAGAAAGAAUCUGAUUUCUGGGCAAAGCAAUGAGGGCUUUGAUGAUGACGUUUCCUGUUUGGAGUGGUGUCUCAGAAUGUUAGGAUUGAUUUAGAAGUUGAAUGGUAUUUAGAAGUCAUCAAUAGGCAACUGUAUGAACUCUUCAUAAACUUUAGUGUGCCCUUUCACUUGACGUACAAUGUAAACUUUAUUUCUGAAGCGUGUCAGGAGCCUACAACAAAGAUGGAAACUAGUGAAGAGGCGUUUUUUACGCUCAACUCAGUAAAAAGAUUCUUUUUAAACACAAUUAAAUACGAUUUCAUUGCAUAGACCCUUUAAAAAAUUGACAACACUGGAAAAACCUAAGCGCUUUCAUUUCGAUCUUCAGACGUUUUACAUUUAAAAACAAUUGUUAUAUCAUGGCAUCAUAAUGAACUCUAUUAAAGCGUAAGAAUUUC